rnacentral:rRNA from 1 species
UGCGCAGGCGGAUUAAUAAGUCGGGGGUUAAAUCCAUGUGCUUAACACAUGCACGGCUUCCGAUACUGUUGAUCUAGAGUCUCGAAGAGGAAGGUGGAAUUUCCGGUGUAACGGUGGAAUGUGUAGAUAUCGGAAAGAACACCAGUGGCGAAGGCAGCCUUCUGGUCGAGUACUGACGCUCAUGCACGAAAGCGUGGGGAGUAAACA